rnacentral:rRNA from 1 species
GAUGAACGCUGGCGGCGUGCUUAACACAUGCCAGUCGAACGGAAAGGCCCAAGCUUGCUUGGGUACUCGAGUGGCGAACGGGUGAGUAACACGUGGGUGAUCUGCCCUGCACUUCGGGAUAAGCCUGGGAAACUGGGUCUAAUACCGGAUAGGACCACAUUUUGGAUGGUGUGGUGGAAAGUUUUUCGGUGUGGGAUGAGCUAGCGGCCUAUCAGCUUGUUGGUGGGGUAAUGGCCUACCAAGGCGUCGACGGGUAGCCGGCCUGAGAGGGUGUACGGCCACAUUGGGACUGAGAGACGGCCCAGACUCGUACGGGGGACAGCAGUGGGGAAUAUUGCACAAUGGGCGCAAGCCUGAUGCAGCGACGCCGCGUGGGGGAUGACGGCCUUCGGGUUGUAAACUCCUUUCGCUAGGGACGAAGCGCAAGUGACGGUACCUGGAGAAGAAGCACCGGCUAACUACGUG